GGGCAGGUGAUCCGAUUGGUAAUGGUGGUUUUCUGUAAAAAAAUUGGUUUAUACCGUAAAAGGUUCGAUUCCUUUACUGCUCA
rnacentral:tRNA from 16 species